rnacentral:tRNA from 1 species
ACGCCCAUAGCUCAAUUGGAUAGAGCCCCGGUGUUCUAGUCAGGACGUUUCAGGUUCGAGUCCUGAUGGGCGUGCCA